GGUUCUUAUGUUGAGUAAUGUGGGAAGUUAUGGGAUUAUUGUGGAGAGAUGGUUAGAACAAAUCUAGGGACCUCUGUAUACUUGCAUUUUAAGAAAGAUAUGAAUGGAAUAACCACUUAUAAGUUUGAAAGGAUGUACAUUUGCUGGAUUGCAUUAAAGAAGGGGUUCAUUGAGGGUUGUAGGCCUAUCAUUGGAGUAGAUGGUUGUCAUUUGAAAGGCCCCCAUUGUGGGCAAUUGUUGGCUACAGUUGCCAUAUAUGGGAAUAACCAGAUAUAUCCAAUGGCUUAUACAAUGGUUGAGGUUGAAGAUGAGGCAAGUUGGAGUUGGUUCUUGGAGCAUUUGAAGAAUGAUCUUGAGAUACCAAAUGAACCAACAUUCACAAUCAUUUCAAAUAAACAAAAGUGCCUAAUCAAUGCAAUCAAUAACUUGUUGCCUUGUGUGGAACACAGACAUUGUGUUAGGCUUCUACACAGCAAUAUGAAGAGAGCUGGAUAUACCGGUCAAGCAGUUAAAGAUAGGUUGUGGAGUCUUGCAAGAGCCACCUAUAUGGGGAGGUUUAAAAGCCUAAUGGAAGAGUUCAAGAAAGAGGAUGAGGGUAGCAUUCAAGUGGCUUGCUAAGCAUGAUGCCCACCACUGGUCUAGGUCUCAUUUCAGUGAGGCUCCCAAAUGUGACAUGCUCUUGAAUAACCUAUGCAUCCCUUGUGCACAUGCAAUUGCCAUCUUUAGGGAAUCAAAACAGAAAGUUCAAGGCAUUGUGCAUGACUACUACUAGAAGCUAGCAUACAUCAACACCUAUAAGCAUGUGAUAUACCCUAUGAAUGGAAUGGACAGGUGGGAGAAGAUAGAUAAAUCGCCAAUUCAGCCACCACAUUGCACUAGAAAGUCUGGGAGACCCAAGAAAUGCAAGAGGAGGGAAGCAGAUGAGCCACCUGCUCAAAGUGAAGAUGGAACCAAGAAAAUGAGGAGGUAUCUUAAGAAAUUGAGCUGUAGAAGAUGUGGGGCAAAAGGGCACAAUGUGAGGACUUGCCCAUCUGAUAAAAAGGGAGGUGGAACUAAAGAAAAGCAAUGUGAAGAUGGAACCAAAGAAAAGCAAUGCAGUCAAGUAAUCACACAACCAACAUUCAGUCAGCCAUCACAGCCCACAACCACAAUCAUAAAAGCUCCGAAGGCCCCAACUAAAAGGGGAGGUGUAGCUAGAAGGGGAGGUGUCCCUUAAGUUUCUAUCUUUAAAUGUCUUUAUCUAAGUUUAAGACCAAAUUUUAUCUACUGUUAUGGUGUUAUGUAUUGCCCUGGCUUUUGGUGCCUUGUUUGGCAUAGCUAUUGAUGCUUAUUCUGCUUUUGGGAUGGCUCUUGAUGCCUUUUUUGGCUUGUGCACUAUUAGGGCUGAACCUAAGGAAAGACCUUAUUCUGUUAAUGGAGACAUUUGU